rnacentral:rRNA from 1 species
GAUGAACGCUGGCGGCGUGCCUAAUACAUGCAAGUCGAGCGAACGGAUAAGGAGCUUGCUCCUUUGAAGUUAGCGGCGGACGGGUGAGUAACACGUGGGUAACCUACCUAUAAGACUGGAAUAACUUCGGGAAACCGGAGCUAAUGCCGGAUAACAUUUGGAACUGCAUGGUUCUAAAGUAAAAGAUGGUUUUGCUAUCACUUAUAGAUGGACCCGGGCCGUAUUAGCUAGUUGGUAAGGUAACGGCUUACCAAGGCAACGAUACGUAGCCGACCUGAGAGGGUGAUCGGCCACACUGGAACUGAGACACGGUCCAGACUCCUACGGGAGGCAGCAGUAGGGAAUCUUCCGCAAUGGACGAAAGUCCGACGGAGCAACGCCGCGUGAGUGAUGAAGGUUUUCGGAUCGUAAAACUCUGUUAUUAGGGAAGAACAAAUGUGUAAGUAACUGUGCACAUCUUGACGGUACCUAAUCAGAAAGCCACGGCUAACUACGUGCCAGCCGCCGCGGUAA